rnacentral:rRNA from 1 species
AUUGAACGCUGGCGGCAUGCCUUACACAUGCAAGUCGAACGGUAACAGGUCUUCGGAUGCUGACGAGUGGCGAACGGGUGAGUAAUACAUCGGAACGUGCCCGAGAGUGGGGGAUAACGAAGCGAAAGCUUUGCUAAUACCGCAUACGAUCUCAGGAUGAAAGCAGGGGACCGCAAGGCCUUGCGCUCACGGAGCGGCCGAUGGCAGAUUAGGUAGUUGGUGGGAUAAAAGCUUACCAAGCCGACGAUCUGUAGCUGGUCUGAGAGGACGACCAGCCACACUGGGACUGAGACACGGCCCAGACUCCUACGGGAGGCAGCAGUGGGGAAUUUUGGACAAUGGGCGCAAGCCUGAUCCAGCCAUGCCGCGUGCAGGAUGAAGGCCUCGGUUGUAAACUGCUUUUGUACGGUAACGAAAGAACUACUGGUUAAUACCUAGGGUCCGAUGACGGUACCGUAAGAAUAAGACACCGGCUAACUACGUAGCCA